UAGGGAAUCUUCGGCAAUGGGGGCAACCCUGACCGAGCAACGCCGCGUGAGUGAAGAAGGUUUUCGGAUCGUAAAGCUCUGUUGUAAGAGAAGAACGUGUGUGAGAGUGGAAAGUUCACACAGUGACGGUAACUUACCAGAAAGGGACGGCUAACUACGUGCCAGCAGCCGCGGUAAUACGUAGGUCCCGAGCGUUGUCCGGAUUUAUUGGGCGUAAAGCGAGCGCAGGCGGUUUAAUAAGUCUGAAGUUAACGGCAGUGGCUUAACCAUUGUUCGCUGUGGAAACUGUUAAACUUGAGUGCAGAAGGGGAGAGUGGAAUUCCAUGUGUAGCGGUGAAAUGCGUAGAUAUAUGGAGGGAGACCGGUGGCGAAAGCGGGUCUCUGGUCUGUAACUGGCGCUGAGGCUCGAAAGCGUGGGGAGGAAACAGG
rnacentral:rRNA from 1 species